ACUGGAGGAUCAAGGCUGAAUCUGAUGAAGCAAGACUUUGCUGAUACACUCCUCCUAGACAAAGGGUGGAGAGAACAGUCGUAAACUGGAGAAAACCACAGGUUGAAUAUACUAUCCAAAAUUU
ensembl:scaRNA small Cajal body-specific RNA 4